GCGGGUAUGGCGGAAUUGGUAGACGCAACGGCUUUAGGUGCCGUCGGGGCAACCCGUGGGGGUUCGAGUCCCUUUACCCGCA
rnacentral:tRNA from 1 species